rnacentral:lncRNA from 1 species
AGCCAAAGUGGUUUUCAUUAAUUUGCCUUCUCCCUGAAGAUUUUAGGCUUGCUGUUUCAAAGAAAGCUAGAUACCACAAUGAGCCAACUAUCUGGUGAGAAGUUUCUCCUAGGGGAGAGAGCUGUUUGCUGCAAUUCCAGCCUUCCAAAUGUCAAACAUUACUCAUUCUAGCUUUGGCUCUAGUCUUGAUGCCAGAGGACUCAAGUGAGCAGAGGUCUUUGGUCCAAGGCAGCAGAUGGCCUCUGUAAAAAUCA